rnacentral:misc_RNA from 1 species
CCAAACUUGGUCAUUUAGAGGAAGUAAAAGUCGUAACAAGGUUUCCGUAGGUGAACCUGCGGAAGGAUCAUUAUUGAAUAAACUUGAUGGAUUGUUGCUGGCUCUCUGGGCAAGUGCACGUCUGUCAUUUUUAUCUCUCCAACAUGUGCACUCUGCAUAGAUCUGAAUGUAUUCUUGAUUGAGUUUUUUAACUUGAUUAUUGGGAAUUGCAGUUGUUAAAGAUAGCUUUUUCUGUAUUCAGAAUCUGUGAAUUUUUAUAUACUCCAAUGUAUGUUUAUGAAUGUUAUCGAAGGCUUUUAAUUAGCCUAUUACAUUUUAUACAACUUUCAGCAACGGAUCUCUUGGCUCUCGCAUCGAUGAAGAACGCAGC